rnacentral:rRNA from 1 species
ACCCACAUCUAAGGAAGGCAGCAGGCGCGUAAAUUACCCAAUCCUGACUCAGGGAGGUAGUGACAAGAAAUAGCAAACCGGGAACCUCAUGGUUUCACGGUAUUGCAAUGAGAACAAUUUAAAACCCUUAGCGAGAAUCAAGUGGAGGACAAGUCUGGUGCCAGCACCCGCGGUAAUUCCAGCUCCACUAGCGUAUAUUAAAGUUGUUGCAGUUAAAAAGCUCGUAGUUGAACCUCUGUCUGGGGCUAGUUUUGGCUUUGGUCAGGCUAGUUCUAGGCAUCCGCCUACAAGACUUAGAGGGCAUUCAGUUGUUCACUAGGAGGAGUAGGCAUUUUACUUUGAAAAAAUUAGAGUGUUUAAGGCAGGCAAUCGCCCGCAUAUAUUAGCAUGGAAUAAUAGAAUAGGACACUUUUCCAUUUCGUUGGUUAUUGGAAUCGUGUAAUGAUUAAUAGGGACAGUUGUGGGCAUUUGUAUUUAAUUGUCAGAGGUGAAAUUCUUGGAUUUAUUAAAGACAAACUAACGCGAAAGCAUUUGCCAAGGAUGUUUUCAUUAAUCAAGAACGAAAGUUAGGGGAUCAAAGACGAUCAGAUACCGUCCUAGUCUUAACUAUAAACUAUUCCGACUCAAUGUUUGACUGGCUUAUAUAACCAGUUGAGCGUUGUAUGAGAAAUCAAAGUCUUUAGGUUCUGGGGGGAGUAUGGUUGCAAAGCUGAAACUUAAAGGAAUUGACGGAAGAGCACAACCAGGAGUGGAUUCUGCGGCUUAAUUUGACUCAACACGGGGAAACUUACCAGGUUAAAACAAUAGUGGGAUUGACAGUUUGAGAGCGCUUUCUUGAUUGGUUGGGUGGUGGUGCAUGGCCGUUCUUAGUUGGUGGAGUGAUUUGUCUGCUUAAUUGCGUUAACGAACGAGACCUUAACCUGCUUACUAGACUGGCGAUCAUCAAUCGUUAGCUCUUCUUAGAGGGACUUUGGUUGUUUUAACUCCAAGGAAGUUUGAGGCAAUAACAGGUCUGUGAUGCCCUUAGAUAUCCUGGGCCGCACGCGUCAUACAAUGACUAGUUCAGAAAGUUUUCUCCUGACCCGAAAGGGGAUGGGUAAUCUUGAUAAUACUAGUCGUGUUAGGGAUCGAUCUUUGCAAUUAUAGAUCUUGAACGAGGAAUUCCUAGUAAGUGCGGUUCAUCAGACCGUACUGAUUACGUCCCUGCUCUUUGUACACACCGCCCGUCGCUUCUACCGAGUGGGUGGUCCGGUGAGA